UACGGAGGGAGCAAGCGUUACUCGGAAUUAUUGGGCGUAAAGGGCGCGUAGGCGGCUUUUCAAGUCGGGCGUGAAAGCUCCGGGCUUAACCUGGGAACUGCGUUUGAUACGGAUGGGCUAGAGUUCGGGAGAGGAGAGUGGAAUUCCCAGUGUAGAGGUGAAAUUCGUAGAUAUUGGGAAGAACACCGGUGGCGAAGGCGGCUCUCUGGACCGAGACUGACGCUGAGGCGCGAAAGCGUGGGGAGCAAACGGG
rnacentral:rRNA from 1 species